rnacentral:rRNA from 1 species
GACGAACGCUGGCGGCGUGCUUAACACAUGCAAGUCGAACGGAAAGGCCCUGCUUUUGUGGGGUGCUCGAGUGGCGAACGGGUGAGUAACACGUGAGUAACCUGCCCUUGACUUUGGGAUAACUUCAGGAAACUGGGGCUAAUACUGGAUAGGAGCUCCUGCUGCAUGGUGUGGGUUGGAAAGUUUCGGCGGUUGGGGAUGGACUCGCGGCUUAUCAGCUUGUUGGUGGGGUAGUGGCUUACCAAGGCUUUGACGGGUAGCCGGCCUGUGAGGGUGACCGGCCACAUUGGGACUGAGAUACGGCCCAGACUCCAACGGGAGGCAGCAGUGGGGAAUAUUGCACAAUGGGCGGAAGCCUGAUGCAGCAACGCCGCGUGCGGGAUGACGGCCUUCGGGUUGUAAACCGCUUUCGCCUGUGACGAAGCGUGAGUGACGGUAAUGGGUAAAGAAGCACCGGCUAACUACGUG